rnacentral:rRNA from 1 species
UACGGAGGGUGCGAGCGUUGUCCGGAAUCACUGGGCGUAAAGGGCGCGUAGGCGGUCCGGUAAGCGUGUGGUGAAAGCCCGGGGCUCAACCCCGGGUCUGCCGUGCGAACUGCCGGACUCGAGCACUGUAGAGGCAGGUGGAAUUCCGAGUGUAGCGGUGGAAUGCGUAGAGAUUCGGAGGAACACCGGUGGCGAAGGCGGCCUGCUGGGCAGUGUCUGACGCUGUGGCGCGACAGCGUGGGGAGCAAACAGG